ensembl:lncRNA
AGAAAUCUAUGCGGAUCAGAUGUGUCCAUGUCAACGCGGCUAUUGAAGUCAUAUCUGAAGAAGAAUUUAAUGACAUCCGGAAUUCUACAAUUGGCUGGGCCGAUAACACCUGGGAAGAUGACAGUGGAGAAGAUGACAGCUGGCACCCUGAAAUGGAGAUGGAGGAUGGGUCAUCUUCAGAGGAGGUUUCCUGAGUUUCAGUUAAGUAAACAUGUUUUCAUAAGAAGGUUGUUGUAAGUUGCUAAGCCCUGCUAUAAGGGCAUUUGACACACAGUGCUCAGGCUAAUGACUUCGCUGAGGUGCUUGCUAUACACUGUCUUACACUUGCCACAAUACUGGGCACAUGGUUUUCUAAACACUAUUCAUGGUAAUGACUCUAACAAGCAUAUCUAUCACGCUGUAUUCAUGGCCACUUUCAAAUGAGCACUAAAGUUCUAUGUGUAUAUAUAUGUGGGGUCAUAGCUUAAACAUCUGUUUCUUUUAUUCUGUAAGGUCAGCCGCUGAGCUGGAAUCCUUCCACAAUCAUAUACUGAUGUAUGCCAGCAAACGAUUCAGCUUUAGCCCACCUGUUUACAAAGCAUGCACCCUCUUAGCAGUGUUGGACUGAAACCAUCAUGUUCACAGACCGGUGAAGAGGAAGACUGAUGGCUCAAUAGAUACUGCAAGCUCUACAAUAAAAAGUCAAAGACUUGGAGUCUAUACACAGCGAAGGUGGAGAAGGACCACGGAUACAUCCCAGACCUGCAGAGUGCUAUCCUAGAAGCCAGGCUGACAACAGACAAGGGUU